rnacentral:rRNA from 1 species
AGGACAAACGCUGGCGGCGUGCCUAAGACAUGCAAGUCGAACGGUGGGGCUUGCCCCACAGUGGCGGACGGGUGAGGAACGCGUGGGCAACCUGCCCCGGGGUGGGGGAUAACACUCAGAAAUGGGUGCUAAGACCGCAUACGAGUGGGGGACGGAAGGUUCCUUAGGGAAAAGCCUUUGGGCUGCCCUGGGAGGGGCCCGCGUCGGAUUAGCUAGUUGGUGUGGUAACGGCGCACCAAGGCCGCGAUCCGUAGCUGGUCUGAGAGGACGACCAGCCACACUGGGACUGAGACACGGCCCAGACUCCUACGGGAGGCAGCAGUUAGGGAAUUUUCACAAUGGGCGCAAGCCUGAUGGAGUGACGCCGCGUGCAGGACGACGCCUUUCGGGGUGUAAACUGCUUUUCUUCGGGACGAGAACGGACGGUACCGGAGGAAGAAGCCUCGGCUAACUACGUGCCAGCAGCCGC